rnacentral:rRNA from 1 species
AAUGGGAAACGACCUCGGUUCUAUUUUGUUGGUUUUCGGAAUCUGAGGUAAUGAUCAAUGGGGACAGGCGGGGGCAUUCGUAUUGCGACGUUAGAGGUGAAAUUCUUGGAUCGUCGCAAGACGGACCGAAGCGAAAGCAUUUGCCAAGUAUGUUCUCGUCGAUCAAGAACGAAAGUUAGAGGUUCGAAGGCGAUCAGAUACCGCCCUAGUUCUAACCAUAAACUAUGCCUGCCAGCGAUCCGCCGAAGUUCCUCCGAUGACUCGGCGGGCAGCUUCCGGGAAACCAGAGCUUUUGGGUUCCGGGGGAAGUAUGGUUGCAAAGCUGAAACUUAAAGGAAUUGACGGAAGGGCACCACCAGGAGUGGAGCCUGCGGCUUAAUUUGACUCAACACGGGAAAACUCACCAGGCCCGGACACCGGAAGGAUUGACAGAUUGAGAGCUCUUUCUUGAUUCGGUGGGUGGUGGUGCAUGGCCGUUCUUAGUUGGUGGAGCGAUUUGUCUGGUUAAUUCCGAUAACGAACGAGACUCUAGCCUACUAACUAGGCGUACCCGGUAUCCACAAUCGUGCUACCGGCGAUCAAAUUUCUUCUUAGAGGGACAGGCGGCUUCUAGCCGCACGAGACUGAGCAAUAACAGGUCUGUGAUGCCCUUAGAUGUCCUGGGCCGCACGCGCGCUACACUGAAGGAAUCAGCGUGUCUUCCCUGUCCGAAAGGACCGGGUAAUCCGCUGAACCUCCUUUGUGCUAGGGAUUGGGGCUUGCAAUUGUUCCCCAUGAACGAGGAAUUCCCAGUAAGCGCGAGUCAUAAGCUCGCGUUGAUUACGCCCCCUGCCCCAUCAAA